AUCUCCUACGGGGGGCAGCAGUGGGGAAUAUUGCACAAUGGGGGAAACCCUGAUGCAGCGACGCCGCGUGAGUGAAGAAGCGCCUCGGCGCGUAAAGCUCUGUCAGCAGGAACGACGAUGACGGUACCUGAAGAAGAAGCCCCGGCUAACUACGUGCCAGCAGCCGCGGUAAUACGUAGGGGGCAAGCGUUAUCCGGAUUUACUGGGUGUAAAGGGCGCGUAGGCGGGAUGGCAAGUCAGAUGUGAAAUCCAGGGGCUCAACCCCUGAACUGCAUUUGAAACUGUCGUUCUUGAGUACUGGAGAG
rnacentral:rRNA from 1 species